rfam:Brachypodium distachyon strain Bd21 chromosome 2, whole genome shotgun sequence.
CAAGUACUCCCUCCGUUCCAUAAUUCUUGUCGAAAUAUUACAUGUAUCUAGACACCUUUUAGGAAUAGAUACAUCCAUUUUUUUGACAAAUUUGAGACAAGAAUUAUGGAACAGAGGGAGUAACUU